UACGGGGGGGGCAAGCGUUGUUCGGAAUUACUGGGCGUAAAGGGUUCGUAGGUGGCCAACUCAGUCAGACGUGAAAUCCCUCAGCUUAACUGGGAACUGCGUCUGAUACUGGAUGGCUCGAGUGCAGGAGAGGAACGCGGAAUUCCAGGUGUAGCGGUGAAAUGCGUAGAUAUCUGGAGGAACACCGGUGGCGAAGGCGGCGUUCUGGACUGCAACUGACACUGAGGAACGAAAGCCAGGGGAGCAAACGGG
rnacentral:rRNA from 1 species